rnacentral:tRNA from 1 species
GUGGCUCAGUGGCUAGAGCACAGAUCUUGGGAGUCAGAAGGAGCUGGGUUCCAAUCCCAGC